rnacentral:rRNA from 1 species
GAUCCUGCUCAGGACGAACGCUGGCGGCGCGCCUAACACAUGCAAGUCGAACGAGAGAUGAGGAGCUUGCUCUUCAAAUCGAGUGGCGAACGGGUGAGUAACGCGUGAGGAACCUGCCUCAAAGAGGGGGACAACAGUUGGAAACGACUGCUAAUACCGCAUAAGCCCACGGCUCGGCAUCGAGCAGAGGGAAAAGGAGUGAUCCGCUUUGAGAUGGCCUCGCGUCCGAUUAG